rnacentral:misc_RNA from 1 species
ACAAACUUGGUCAUUUAGAGGAAGUAAAAGUCGUAACAAGGUCUCCGUUGGUGAACCAGCGGAGGGAUCAUUACCUGAAGCGAAAGCUCAGUAAACCACUGUGAAUAUACCUGUCUGUACUGCUCCGGCGGGCGGCUCCAGGGCGGAGCCACUGCCCGUUAGGUCGGGUGCCCGCCGGAGCCCACUGCAAACUCUGUCAUCGCGGGGCGUCAUCAGAGCUAAAGCAAAGCCAUAAAAACUUUCAGCAACGGAUCUCUUGGUUCUGGCAUCGAUGAAGAACGCAGC